AUUACAUAAUAGAUAUUAAAGUGGUAAGAAUAAAAAUAAAGCAGGAAGGGGAAUGUUGGAAAAGGGCAGUAUAUAUGGCCAUUUUAGGCAGAAUGGUCGGCAAACACCUAGAAGAGGUGAGGGAGUGAAUGAAUGAUACAUGUAUCUUGAGGGAAAAUAGUCCAGGUAGAGUAGAGCAGAUGCUUAAGUCGUAAGGCGUUUUGGAGGGCAGAUGGGAUAAGUGGAUGGAUAGUAGGUUCAGGAAAUAGCAAGCAGGCCAGUAUGGCUGGAACAAAUUUAGAUUUAAAAAGCUAGUGGUGGUUCCACUGUGGCUACUACAUACUUUCAAGUGGAACUGAGAGGAUUUGCUGUCAGACUAGAUUGAGUUAUGAGAAAAAAGUCAAGGUUGAUGGCCAAAGCAACUGGAAUUGUCACAUAUAGAAAAUGGGAGAGGACUGGGCGUGGUGGCUCAUGCCUGUAAUCCCAGCAGUUUGGGAGGCCGGAGUGGGUGGAUCACAAGGUCAGGAGUUUGAGACCAGGCUGGCCAACAUGGUGAAACCCUGUCUCUACUAAAAAUAAAAAAAUUAGCUGGGCGUGGUGGUGCGUGCCUG
rnacentral:lncRNA from 10 species